rnacentral:lncRNA from 1 species
AGAGGACAAAAAUGGCAGCUGGUGGUAUAAAUAAAGGAAUCUGAGACGGUAAUGGCGAAAGGUGAGCUCAAGAAUGAAAGAGGCUCAAGGCAGCAGAGGGAUGGGAAAGUUUCUGAGGGUGGUUGCCCCUCUCUGCCAUAACUUUUGAUUUCUCCGAUCAUCUGUUCUGAGCCGAUGAUUUCACCAAGUCCCCUGGAGAAAGCAACAGCCCUUAUUGCAUCUCUGCCUGCAAACAAACAUAACCACCUCUCUUUCUCUCUCUAUAUCUACGUAUGUAUGUAUGUAUUUAUUGUGUGUAAAGGGUUUAACCCAUUUACAUAUCUUUUCAUUUUCUUUUCCAUUCCAUUCCUUUUUUCUUUUCUGUGCAGUCAAAACUCAGAAACACAGUUAAGUGGAGGCUGUGAUGAUAAGAUUUGAUUCUUGAGCGAAUCGGGGCUGUGUUGAUGUGCCCGUAUCUUGGCGGGGCAAAACAGAUGGCAUGAUGAUGCGAGGGAUUUGAUUUGAUGGAUUCAUUUGGGUUUAGGGUUUUGGGUUUUGAUAUCUCUUGAUCCCUCUUACAUCUAAUGCAACUGUUUUUGCAGUCAUGACGGUGCCACACUCUUUACCCUGAUUACAUACAGAUCUGAGCCUAAACCUUUCCCCCUACUGUCUUUAUUUUGAUUUAUCUAGACUGAAUGUGUUUUACUGAUGUGUUAGCUCCAUACAAGUAUUUUUUUAAAAAUUAUUUUUAGAAAAAUAGGAAGUAUGAAAUAAACUUAGCUUUUUAAUAAUUUUAUGAAUAUGUUGAAUGAGUUAAAAAUAUGGGAUGUUUUAAUGACUCAAAUAUUUGAUUUUUAUUUUUUAGACCAUAAGAUAGAUAAUUAAAAAUUACUCCAUAUUUAAUAUUUAAUUUAUUAUUAUUUUAAGUAAAUUUUGUUAUGUAGAAAUUAGUUUUUGAAUUUUUUAAUAAUUGGUCAAUAAUUAAUUUAAUGAAGGUUGUAGUAUUUUAUUUUGAUUUUGUAGAUUGAUAGAAUAUUAAAAAGGUUUAGUGUUUAUUUUUAAAAUUAUAUUAUUAACAGUAUAUUUUAUCAAAGAUUUGUCUAAAAUUAUUAUAUUAUAAUAUACUUGUUCCUUAAAGAUCUGUCUAAAAUUAUAUUAAUAUACUUUGUUCGUAAUAUGUUAAAAUAGAGAAAUACGCAUAUGAUGUUUUAUACAGAUAUUUAUUAAAUAUAUUAUUUUAAUUUUUAUUCAAAUUUUUUUAUUUUAUUUAGUUUUUUAAGAUUCUUUUAUAUAUAUUCAAAAUUUUUUAUUCAAUUUAUGAAGUAAGGACUAUUAAUAAAUAUCUUUUUAAAACAUCAAUAACAAUAAUAAAAAUUGUCCACAUACAUCUAGAUAGUACAUGUCAUAAAGCCUUUAUGAUAUAAUUGUGGAAUUAAAAUUGAAUACAUACUCCUAUUAUUAAUUAUUUGACGUUUUAAAAUUUUGCAUAAUUCUUAAGAAAGUUAAAACUUCUAUAAAAUUUUUACUAAAAUUAUUAUGUAUUACCAAAAAAUACUCUUUCAUAGAUAAAUAAUAAAUUAAAUUGUAGAUAAUAAAGAUGAAAAAUGUUAUUAAAGGAUAAAGAUAAUAUAGGAAUUAUAAGAGAAAGAGAGUUAUACCAUUAAGAUGUUAAAAAGAGAAAAAAUAGUUUGAAAAAUAUGAGAAAAUUAAAGAGAGUAUUAAAUGUUUAGGGGUAAUUUAAGAAGUAAUGUAAUCAAUAUAUUUUAGAAAUUUAUCAAAUUUGUUCUCUAAAACAUCAAUUAAAUAAGAAUGGAGAAAGUAGUAUAUAAGAUCUUUGUUAGAAUUAGCACACAUUAUUAAUAGAUAAAUAUGUUAGAUGAAAUUAUCUUUUUUUUAAUAAUGUGUUAUAAUCUUAAAUUUUAUUCUACUUGUCUUUAAAAUGAUGAGUAAAAGUAAAUAGAAAAAAUAAAUAAAAAAGUUUUAUAUUUAGUAAUCUUAAGUUUUAUAUUAGUUUAUUUUUUUUAGAUUUUUUUUUAUAUUUAAUAAUUUUUUUGAGGAUAGAGGUAGUAACUCAUAAUUGUGUGAUGUUAACCAAUUUAUCCGUCUCGGUGAGACACCAUUCCAAGGUGACACGAUGUAAAUUAUUUACUCUUUUCGUCUUUAAAAAGAUAAAUUAAGUAAUGAAAAAAUGUCUUUAAUAACACAAGUAAAUAAGUUAAUUAGACAAUUUUUUUUGCGAACUAAUUUAUCUUUUACCAUACAUUAUAUUUUAUUUAAUUAAUAAUGAAUCACUCACAUCACAUAAGUGAUUUACAUUAAAUAAAAAUUGUUAUUUUCAUAAUAAAUUUAUUUAUAACGAUGAUUUUUACUGUCAUUAUAUAUUUUCGAUUACACUUUUUAUAUAUUAAUUAUUAACAAUUUCUUCCGUUCCUUAAUAUAGAUUAUUUUAGACAUGUGCACAAGAAUUAAAAAAAUAAUUGAAAAGUAUUAAUUAUAUUAUCAAUUGUCUAUAAUAUCCUUCAUCUCAUAUUAUCUCAUAAAUAUGAAUCAAAAAAUUAGGUUGAAUAAUAAGGAAUAAUUUGGAAAAAAUAACAAUUAAUUUUUCUAGAUAACUACAGACGACAAAUAAUUAAUAAUAACAAAAAAAGUCUAAAACAACUUGCAUAUAAAAACGAAGGGAGUAUUUACGAAUGGAGAGGACAAAAUGGGAAGUUAGUGGUAGUAAGUGAAGGGAUUUGGCUGCCACUGCAAUUGGAUUAGCUCAAGAAUGAAAGAGGGUCGCAGAGAGAUGGGAAGUUUCUUAAGGGUGGUUGCCCCUCUCUGCCGGAAGAUGAUUCAUCCGAUCAUCUGAGCCCAUGAUUUCACCUGCUCCCUCAAACCAACAGCCCUUAAUCCAUCCAUCCAUCCAAACGAAGCAUUAUAUAUCACAUGUAUAUAUAUACACACACAUGGAUGAUGGGUUGUUGACUGAAUUACGAUUUGCAUCCUAAACCCUAAACCUUACAUAAUUUUGAUUUUAUUUUGCUGAUGAUGAUGAUGAUGAUGAUGAUGAUGUGUUGUUUUAUUAAUGAGAGGCUGUGAUGAUAAAUUGAUUCUUGAGCAAAUCGGGGCAUUGUUGAUAUGACCCGUAUCUUGGCGGGGCAAACUCAGAUGGCAUGUGAUUUAUCUCUCUAUCACAUGCAACUGUUGUUGCAGCCAUGGCGGUGCCAUACUCUUUGCCUUCCAGAUCUGAGCCUCACCCUUCUUUUUUUGCCCUUUUAACUUUAUACCAAUAUUACUCUAAUGUCAUAAAUUGGACCAAGGCAUAGGAAUACGUAACAAAAUAGAUUGCGAAUUGAAUAGGAAUAAAAUUAAAAAAUUGAUCCAUUAUAUAUCCAGUAAGUAUUACUAACCCCUAGGGUUCCCCCAUUUUUGGUUUUUUCUCAUUUUAUAGUAAUUAUCUUAGGAAUGGUUAGACGAAAUUACCCUUACCUUUCCCACAAUAAAAAUUAUGCCACACCAUGUAAACAGGUGAGAAAGAAGAGGGCAGAAAUGGAAAAUAUUGGUAGUAUAAAAAACAUAUCUUGCAGGGAUCUAACCGCAGGGUUUGCUCAUGAAUGAGGCUCAGUAAGAGAGAUGGGAGGUUUCUAAGGGUGGUUGCCCCUCUCUACUAAAAAAAUCUCCUUUCAGAAGCAUUUGAGUCCAUGAUUUCUUUCGCCUUAAUCAAAUCAACAGCCCUUAUUCCCCUCUUUAUCUCUCUCUCUGAGAUUAAGAUUUGGGAGAGCAUGCAUGCAUUCAAACAUACACAUAUAGAUAAAUAAAUAAUUAUUAUAUACCCAACUGGGUAACUCCACCUCCUCCUUUNNNNNNNNNNNNNNNNNNNNNNNNNNNNNNNNNNNNNNNNNNNNNNNNNNNNNNNNNNNNNNNNNNNNNNNNNNNNNNNNNNNNNNNNNNNNNNNNNNNNNNNNNNNNNNNNNNNNNNNNNNNNNNNNNNNNNNNNNNNNNNNNNNNNNNNNNNNNNNNNNNNNNNNNNNNNNNNNNNNNNNNNNNNNNNNNNNNNNNNNNNNNNNNNNNNNNNNNNUAUUAUUAUUAUUAUUAUUAUUAUUAUUAUUAUUAUUAUUAUUAUUGUUAUUAUGUUAUUUUGUUGUUAUUAUUAGUGGUGAUGGUGUGGUGGUGGUGGUGGUAGUAGUAGUGGUGGAACUGAAACCGAUCUAAUUACGGUACUAAUUAUGAGAGGCUGUGAUGAUAGUUUUUCUAAUCCGAGCAAACCCGAUCAGGCAUGGUGAAUCUGACCCGUAUCUUGGCUGGGCAUCACAGAGGGCAUGUGAUUGAUUAGAUUCAACAAUCGAUCCAUUUUUUCUCACAUGCAACUGGGGGUUGCAGCCAUGGCGGAUUCAUAUCCCAUGUCUGAUUUUUCACAGAUCUGAGCCUCACUCUCUCUCCUUCUAUUCAUCUUUCAAUUUUUUUUUUAAUUAUUGUGUAAAUAACUAAAUAUAUUAUUAAAAGCACUGGUAAUUUCUGGGUUUGUAGUCCAACCCUUUAUUUUACGAGUUUUAUAUCUUACUUUAUGGGAAUUGUUAAAUUAUAAAAAAAAAAAUUGUUAUUUUUAUAAUAAAAGUGUUAUUGUGAUGUAUAGCGACGUAAAAAUUGUGAAAAUCAUCUAUAAAUUUUAUAUUGAUAUUUUUGUUAUGAAUUUAAUAAUUUUCUAAUUUAUAAACGUGAAAGAAUGUUUUAUAUGUUAUGUUAAAUUAUCGAAUGGGUCGUAGGCAUAGGAAAAAUAUUCUUUAAAAUUUAAUUACAAUGAAAUGUUCAUUUUUCUAAGGAACUGAUAAAUGCAUACUACUACCGAAAAAAAGAAAGAAAUAAAAAGUUGCUAAUCUAAACAUGUCUAAAAAUCACAUUCUUCGGGAUGGAACUUACAUUGCCCAUGCCGUGAUCAAAACUGUUCUCUGUGACUGACCGACCUAAUCUUCAAGCAAAGGCCAAUUUCUGUAACAACAGUUCAAUAUUGUGAAAAAUGAACAAAGUAUCAGGUCCAUGCCUAAUUUGUGACCUCCGGUUUAGGAAUGACAAAGUAAACCGAACAGCUGGGUGACCGCUAAUAAGAUGAUGCCCAAAUCCCCUACAUUCCUUGGACCACCACUAGAUUUUUCAUCUUUGGGUGGAGGAGGUCUUGCAUCUGCGGAAGUGGGCGGGUCUGCGAUCUUGGCUACCGAAGGUAGCGGCGGAUCAACCACGUCUGCACUUUCCAGUGCUGGGGUGGGUGGUAAAGCAGGUGGCAUCGCCAUUGGAUCAAUUUGACGAGCCAGAUCCCCAGCAUGAAUUGGCUUUAUGGGAAGUACAUUAUGGGGAUUCUUAAGAUCAGCACAUGGAUUCCCUGCAUAACCAAGGGAUCAACUUUUUGAUAGUCACAACUAAACGUUAUGGAAAAAAAAUGUACAAAUUUUACGCCAUAAAAAAUGUACUGCUUGUUUUGUCUAGCAGGGUGUGGUGCGUUUUAACGGUCUAAAUGUACUUUAAACUUUUGUUCAUCUAUAAAUAAUUUAUUUUAAAUAUAUUUUAUUUAACUCACAAACGCUCCAAAAUACUUGAACAAAACGCUGCUGCUUUUAUAAAUUAAUUAAGUUCUCUUUUAAAUAAAUUGUUAUCAGACGAAUAAGAUUGCAAACGCCGGUGUACACAAACAAGCAGUAUAGCUAUAAAUGCUGUAAACGCUUAUAAUUAAACAAACUUACUCAUGUAUGCACUUGCAGUCGCUGGAAAUUCGGUCAUGACACCAUCAACAUGUAGUGAAACAUAAGUAGCAAGCUGCAGAUAAGGAUCUGAGAGGUAAUCAAAAUUGAAGAAGACAAAUUCAUUCCGAAUAGGUGUGACAUAUACGGAUAUAUUUUCAGCAUGCAUUUCAUCUACAACUUGUGUGACUCCCUUGGUAAAGAAGCCCGAGUUUUGUUGAACGAUUGACUCUCUAUCGACAGCAACAGCAUUUGCAUUUUUCUUGAUUUCUGCCACCACAUCCUUGGGGGCAUUGCUUAUUUCCUCUUUAAUCGACAACACUCUUUCGUAAUUUGGGAAAUUGCUGAAUUUUGAUAGGACCGAGCUAUCGUCCGACUGAAUCAUAACCUUUUGAGUGGAUUCCCCCCUGUCGAAGCUAGCGUUGGCCAAAGCAGUUGUGACGGCAUCUACUACACCAAGACCCUUUUUUGACGCUAGAUAUGCAGCAUUCUAGCAAAAACAAAGGUCUGAAAUUGUUACAAGUCUAUUUUCACAGGAUUCUUGAGCUUUGCUAAAGAGGGAAAUAAUCAGCUCACCUCUAUGUUAAUCAAAACUCCUCCGGUUUUGUUCGUCUUGGCAAGUUGUAAGAAGUCGGCCAGAGUCACAAACUUGCCCUGGUUCUUGAAUCUCGGGUUUCUCACCAAGGCAGAAUCCUUAUAAGGAACUUCAAUUAUAGCUGCAUUGGUAAAGUUUAGUCAGCUUAAGGAUAUAGUAUUAAACACGUGGAAUGUAAAAUUGAAAAAGGUUUAAUUUUCUGAAAGUUUACGCUUGAGGGAUUCAAUUUCGAUCCAAGUGAGAUCAAAUGAGAAAAUGCCAUCCUGUGGUUGAAUUUCAGGUGUGUUUGAAGAUCGGUCCAUAAAGUCAACCAGUGCAGUUGUUAUUGUGGAGAUAUCAACAUUGGACAUGCAGAAGGGGACUCCAUCUUUUGUCAUUUGGACAUUGCAGUCGAUUAGAUCCACCCCGUCCUGUAUGGCUUGCUGAUAGGCAAGGUCAGUGCAGGCAGGGUAGACUCCACUAGCUCCAUUGUGAGAUAUGAUCAAACCUAUUCAUGAAAAGGCAUACUUAAAGAUCAUUUCAUUUCACAAAUUAACCAACUAAUACACAUGAUGUUGAAUAGAUAUACUACAGCAAUUAAUAUAAUGCACCUUUCACAAUCUUAGAGGUAUUGUUCUGGCUCUGGGCAAAGCAUGCUGCACCAAGAAGAACACAUGAGGUUAUAAGUUAGUUUAGGCAGGCCGGUUGAGAAGAAGAUUGGCCAAAAGCAAAUGAAGAAAAUGGGUUCAUGUACCUGUGGCAAUUGACGCAGUGGAAGGGAAAUCUGAAAGCAUCCCAUCAACAGAAAACUGGGAGUUGCCAAUAAAUUCGAGGUACUCGUUAACUGGAUCAUAACUAUAAUUGUAACUUGUCCAAACAUCGUUUGCAAAUUUGUAUGUAUAUACUUCAAGACCUAGUUUGUGGGCAUCAGCUACGAGUGUAGUUGGGGAUUCACAAUAGAAGUCCUUGGCAAUCGGAACUAUGUAAUCUUUUGGGACAAGAAUACCCGAUACAAAUGGCUUGAUUGAGGUUAGAUUGUUGAGUAUUGAACCAUAUUUUUCCUUUCUCGUGGGUUCAACUUCGUCUUUGUUCAAGAACUUGAAAAUGAGCUUCGUACGGUUUUUGUCCACUUGGCCACUCAUAAACUCCAAGAAGUUAAUUUCUGGUGAUGAAAUGUGACUUGGUACCCAAAACUGUGCCGAAUCUUUUAUAUAUUUUGCCACAUUUAAAUUAUAUUGAUUGUAGAACAUAUCAUACUGCAUGAGGCACACAAGGAAUAUAAAGAUCCAAAAUUUAGGCAAAAUAUGGAGUACAAGGGAAAUUAAGUUGGUACCUCAAAAUUUAGCCACAUUCUUUUAACAUUAUUAAGUCCCGAAAGAUCAUCAGGAGUGAAUAUUGGUAACAUGCCAUCAAACACGCUUGGUCGGCUCAAUGUACUUGCUAUAUCUGUGGGAGAAGAACAAACCAAAUUAAGUACUAGCUAGUAGGUAGGUAGAUUUUGUUUGGUAAUUGAUUAGGACUUACAAUAUGUAUUGUUUUUGAGAUCAUCCAACGUAUAGUCCAUGGCGAACCAGCCACUAAGAUCCUUUCCAUUAACGUUGUAAGUCUUCUCUCCCUUGGGGUAGGCGAGGGCCGCUGUUGUUGAAUUGUCGAGGAGGAUUUGGCCUGCGCAAACUCCCAAGUUGUCCUUUGUAAGCUGAACAUUGCAGUACAUAAUGCUAUUCGGAAGACUUGUUUGUAAGGCAAAACUAUAUGCAAAUUCACUCGAAUCUGGAAAAAGCCCCGAGUAUCCACCGUUUGCUAUAACAUCUGGCGGACCACCUGCAUUUACAAAUGUGCUUUCAAAAUAUAGAAUCAAUUUUGGGCUUCUUAUUUGUUAACGUUACAUACCAUUUAAAGUUUUAAAUUUCUUGUUCAGGGUAGGGGGUGGUGGUUGUUUGGGGCCUUUUGCGGUUUUACGAUGAAGUGGAUGUGGGGCUUUCUGUGCUUGGAUUGAAUCCACCAACAACAACAAGAAGAAGAAAACCAAAUAUAUUUGCCGGAACAUUUUCUUCCACAUCUGUAUAUAUGUAUGUAUGUAUCCAUAAAAACAAAAACAAAGAUAGAGAUCAGGUGAGGUGAGGUGAGCCACUUUAGAGAAUGAUUGAACACCAAAUCUUUGUAUCCAUUUUCAAAAUUGAAUUAUUAUUUUUCUGUUAGAAAUUAUCUUACAGCUAGCAAAUAAUUUGUCAUGUAUCACCACCAUCUCCAGGUAAAAACAGUAAUAUCAUUAUGGUUAUUAUUAUUAAUGAAACUAUUGUUUCUUUCUAGGGUUCCUAAAUUGUCGAAAUAUUACUAUAUCAUAAACAAAAAAUGAACCCAAGUUCUUUAUUAAUUUGGGGUUAGAUUGCAACCAAAUCUCAAACCAUACCUACAUAUAUUUCACAUCUAAAAUUUUGGUUUUAAGAUUCAUAAGGAUCAUACCACCACCCAUGAUUUCAAAAUAGAUAUAACAUAACAUAAUAAGAAGAAUAUGGAAAGAAAUCAAUCAAAUAAACUUACUUGAUUAGUGUUGAUGAUCUUUUUUUAGUAGUUGAUUAAUGUUAAUUCAAAACAUUCCCUUAAUCUCUCAUUCCCUGUGAUUUUUGAAUAAAUAUAAACACGAAAAGGAUAUGCAAAAUAUGUUUGAUGGAAGGAUGAGGGUGGGGUGAGACAAGGAGAUUGAGACAGAGUUUUUUUUUCCGGUAAAUAAAAGAUUUGAGAGAAUGUUGUUAAGGUUUUAGUAGUAUUAAUUAGCUCCCACACAUUUCUCGCAUUAAUUGUUGGUCAUUAAUUCAUUUAACUCGGAAUAAUAUUGACCGCAUAGCUCUGUAUCAGUGGAUGCAUACAUACAUAUAUAUUACUGGAUUUGGCGGGAGACGGGAAUCUCUAACUAGGUCUAGUACGUAUAUAUAUAUAUAUAUAUAUAUAUAGUUCGUAACGGAAUGACUGCUACUAUGUUUGCAAUUCACUUAAAAAAAUUCAAUUCGAAUAAUUUAUUUUACACACACUUUAAGAAUUACUCCCUUCCGUUUCCAAAAUUAAAUGCUCGAUUUUAACUUUCUAAAAUCAAAUUAACUAUUUUUAGGAUUUAUAAUUAAGCAUAUACAAAUAUAUUUUUUAAAUUAUAUGAAUUGGGUUUGUAGUAAAUUGUAUACACUUUAAUUUGAUUAUAAAAAAAAUUUUAUCUAUAUUUUAGCAAAAAUGAUACAGAUGUCAGUUUUUAAAAUGGUCAAAUUUACACCCAAAAAAAGAGAGAGUUAAAACUAAGUAUUUAAUUUAAGACGGAGGAGUUUUAAAUAAUAAAAUCUAACGAAAUUUGAAAUUACCAUUUUCUAGCUGAUCGUGACAAAAUUUUUAGUAUAGAAGAAUUAAAACUUAUUUAAAAAUUUACAUUAUCAAAAUAAAAAGAUAUUUGUAAACCAAAAUUAGGUGUCAAAUUAUUUGUUUAAAAAUAAUUAUAUCUCAAAUACAAUAUUCUAGAGUGAUCUAAGAUUCACACUACAAUGUAAGAUCCUUGAUCCUCCACGCGGGCCACGCCUUGUAGUUUGUACUACCUUAUCAGUAAAAGAACUUGGCCUACAAGUUAUACCGACUUACAUCUCACCCUACAAAUUAAGCCCUCAAAUCUCUCUAUCACACACCAAAACACAUCGUGAAAAAUGGCUAAGAAAGAUAUGGAAGUAGUAAAGGGAAUAGAGCUAGGAAGGUAUAUGGGUAGGUGGUACGAAAUAGCUUCAUUCCCUUCAAGAAAUCAGCCCAAAAAUGGUAUAAACACAAGGGCUACUUACACUUUGAAAGAUGAUGGUACUACUGUUAAUGUUCUGAACGAGACUUGGAGUGAUGGAAAAAGAGGUUUUAUUGAAGGAACUGCUUAUAAGGCUGACCCUCGUAGUGAUGAGGCCAAACUCAAGGUCAAAUUCUAUGUUCCUCCCUUCCUCCCCAUCAUUCCUGUUCUUGGGGAUUACUGGGUUUUGUACCUUGAUGAUGAU